AAGUCGUAACAAGGUUUCCGUAGGUGAACCUGCGGAAGGAUCAUUAUUGAAUAAACCUGGCUUGGUUGCUGCUGGUCUUUCCGAAGGCAUGUGCACACCUUGUCAUCUUUAUAUCUCCACCUGUGCACCUUUUGUAGACCUGGAUUCAACUUUCCGAGGCAACUCGGUUGUGAGGAAUUGCUUAACAGCUUUCCUUGUUAGUUUCCAGGGCUAUGUUUUCAUAUACACCCUACGAAUGUAACAGAAUGUCAUUAUUAGGCUUAAUUGCCUUAUAAACUAUAUACAACUUUCAGCAACGGAUCUCUUGGCUCUC
rnacentral:misc_RNA from 1 species